rnacentral:rRNA from 1 species
UAAGGAAUCUUCCACAAUGGGCGAAAGCCUGAUGGAGCAACGCCGCGUGCAGGAUGAAGGCCUUCGGGUUGUAAACUGCUUUUAUGUGCGAGGAAUAUGACGGUAACACAUGAAUAAGGAUCGGCUAACUCCGUGCCAGCAGCCGCGGUCAUACGGAGGAUCCGAGCGUUAUCCGGAGUGACUGGGCGUAAAGAGUUGCGUAGGUGGCAGUCUAAGCAAAUGGUGAAAGCGUGUGGCUCAACCAUACAGCUAUUAUUUGAACUGGAUUGCUUGAGAGCAGGAGAGGUAGAUGGAAUUCCCAGUGUAGGAGUGAAAUCCGUAGAUAUUGGGAGGAACACCGAUGGCGUAGGCAGUCUACUGGCCUGUUUCUGACACUGAGGCACGAAAGCGUGGGGAGCGA